CUGCAAAAAAGUCACAUACCUCUGGCCCUUUGGAAGACUAGUGAUUUUGUUGUUGUGAAUGUCAAAGAACUAACAAAAAAUCACUGUCGGCCACUGGGGACAGAGGUCCAUUCAUCAGGAUACUAC
rnacentral:pre_miRNA from 15 species